AAAUUAAUUAAGAGGCAACUCUUAACUGGCCAGUUGAGGAAAAACCGAGAGGUUCAAGCUCAGCGGGCAGAAAGUCUGAGACAGUAGAACUAAACAACUCAGGUGACUGGUUACGAAGGUAGUUCUCUAACAGCGUACCAA
rnacentral:sRNA from 10 species